rnacentral:rRNA from 1 species
UACGAAGGGGGCUAGCGUUGCUCGGAAUCACUGGGCGUAAAGCGCACGUAGGCGGACUCUUAAGUCGGUGGUGAAAUCCUGGAGCUCAACUCCAGAACUGCCUUCGAUACUGGGAGUCUCGAGUCCGGGAGAGGUGAGUGGAACUGCGAGUGUAGAGGUGAAAUUCGUAGAUAUCUGGAGGAACACCGGUGGCGAAGGCGGCGUUCUGGACUGCAACUGACACUGAGGGACGAAAGCUAGGGGAGCGAAUGGG